UUUUCUGUUUUAUUUCUGCGAAGGUGUGAUCGGUAUUUCUUCAUAUAUGUAUAAUGUGAGCAAUAUCUUUUUGGGAUUUAUAGGUUCGUAUCAAAAGUAACAAAAACAAUUAACUUUGAAGAAAACUUAAAGGACAAAACAUUGGGAGGCCAUUAUUGUUGGUAUUAUGGCUCAUGUUAGAUAUGAUAAAUGGAGUUCGGCAAUUUCACCAACUAUGACGUUUUCUCAGUUCAUCAAACAAUUGGCAGAACAUGUUCUAGCUCGGGAAUUUGCAAUGCCCUUGUCCGGAUUGGCACUAGCAAUCAGGAACGAUCCUAGCUGUAAAUAUCUUCAACUAAAACCGAUAACUCUUCACAAGAUUUUACAGAGUUACCCUGACUCUUUCAAAUUCCAAGGUGCGAGAGAGGAUCCCGAAGUUUCGCUCCGUCUUUCCAUAGACAUUUGUAAUAACGUAAGGAACUGUCCAGGGUUUCCUCAAUGCAAAGAUCUACACAUUUGUAGAUACUUCAUGAUGGACAACUGUAUCCAUACAAAAAGGAAAACAAGGGCACCAUGUCCGUAUCCCCAUUCUUUGGAUUCCAAGCACAACAGAAAGGUACGGCAGUACCAUAACUUGCUGUCUCUGGACAUUAACGCCCUUAAAAAGAGGAUGCAAGACUCUGCUGAUUUUGCCAGUCAGGAGGCACCUGUUGAUUUGAAGCUUUGCUUCUACUACACACGAAGAGUAUGUGAAAGGGAUGACUGUCCAUACCUACAUCUCUGCGAGUUUUUCGUCAAGGGAUCUUGCAAAUUUGGAAGAAGGUGUAAGAAAAACCAUGACGUUUGCGCGCGCGAUAUUGAAGGUAAGAGUUAUUAUGGAACAAACCAACAAGAUAAAUAAACGAAAAUAAAUCAAUAACUGAUUGAUAAAAGAAUUAACAUCUGUAAACUGUCUAUCAUAUGCUUUAUCAUUUAAAGCUAUCUUGAGGGAGCAUAACAUUGACGCGGAUGGAGAUGAGGAAGAUAUUCUAGAAAAUAUCAGAGCAAGACUAUAUGGCGAUGGUGAAGAAGAGAGUGAAGAGGAGGUCACUAGCGAAGAGGAGGAGAGUUUUGAACAACCAAAAAAACCAAAUCCAAAUCAGCAGAAUGCUGUCCCUACAACAAGCAGACGGUGAUUCAUCUAAUCAAAUUUAGAACGUUCUAUGUUGAAUCUCAAGUACUAAUAAUAAUUUUUAUAAAUACUGUUUCAAAUUACAGUUACCCACUGUUCUUAAUGUGUAGAUCUGAUACGUGCGAUUACCGUUGAAAAUAGUUAUUUUUGCUUGUAUUAAAAAAGGUAUAAUCCAAAAUGUGCGAUGAAUUAAUCUAUUUCACAUGUAUUCUAGAUAAUAAUUGAUAAGUUGAUAAACAAUAAAUGCUUAAAAAUGUCUACCUCUGUCAUCGUAUACUGAAAUAAAUUACAUAUGUAUUU
rnacentral:misc_RNA from 1 species